rnacentral:rRNA from 1 species
AGCAGCCGCGGUAAUUCCAGCUCCAAUAGCGUAUAUUAAAGUUGUUGCAGUUAAAAGCUCGUAGUUGAAUUUCGGGGUCAGUAGGUUGGUCAUGCCACUGGUAUGUACUGAUCUUACUGAUUCCUCCUUCCUGAUGAACCGUAAUGCCAUUAAUUUGGUGUUGCGGGGAGACUGGACUGUUACUUUGAAAAAUUAGAGUGUUAAAGCAGGCUAACGCUUGAAUACAUUAGCAUGGAAUAAUGAAAUAGGACGUUCGAUCCUAUUUUGUUGGUUUCUAGGAUAGACGUAAUGAUUAAUAGGGGCAGUUGGGGGGCAUUAGUAUUCAAUUGUCAGAGGUGAAAUUCUUGGAUUUAUUGAAGACUAACUGCUGCGAAAGCAUUUGCCAAGGAUGUUUUCAUUAAUCAAGAACGAAAGUUAGGGGAUCGAGACGAUCAGAUACCGUCGUAGUCUUAACCAUAAACUAUGCCGACUAGGGAUCGGAUGAUGUUAAUUUUUUUAAUGACUCAUUCGGCGCCUACGG